rnacentral:rRNA from 1 species
UACGUAGGGUGCGAGCGUUGUCCGGAAUUAUUGGGCGUAAAGGGCUCGUAGGCGGUUUGUCGCGUCGGGAGUGAAAUCCACUGGCUUAACUGUGGGCGUGCGGUCGAUACGGGCAUGACUGGAGUUCGGCAGGGGAGACUGGAAUUCCUGGUGUAGCGGUGAAAUGCGCAGAUAUCAGGAGGAACACCGGUGGCGAAGGCGGGUCUCUGGGCCGAUACUGACGCUGAGGAGCGAAAGCGUGGGGAGCGAACAGG